rnacentral:lncRNA from 1 species
UGAACAUGCCUAGAAGGAGCUUGUCUUGGUGAUUUCGGUUUUGAGCCAUUUCAAUGAACAAGAUGCAGAUUUUCUUUGUUUCUUAACUCACUCUUGGUUNUCUUAGCUUGUUGGUGGUGAAAAACAAUUCAUUUCCACUUCCAUUUGCUUGUUUUUGAUGCUUGGAGCUUGUCUUUGCAUUUCCAUGGUGGAUGUUGGGUUUGAGUAACUUUAUAUUUCGUUUUCC